ACUGCGGUAGCCCAGAUGGUAGUGGCGCCGGCAGUACAGAUGCCGAAGGUCGCAGUUCGCAGGUUCAAAUCUUGCCUGCGGUG